AGUUUGAAUAUGGCUUCAGGGCCAAAGCCUGGCGGCGUGCUUAACACAUGCCAGUUCAACGGUAAGGGCCCCUUUUUUGGGGUGUCCAGUGGCGAACGGGUGAGUAACACGUGAGUAACCUGCCCCAGACCUUGGGAAAACAGUUUGGAAAAGAUUCGCUAAUACUGGAUAUGAGCCGCUGCCGCAUGGUGGUGGUUUGAAAGUUUCCGGCGGUUUGGGAAGGGCUCGCGGCCUAUCAGCUUGUUGGUGAGGUGAUGGCUUACCAAGGCUUCGACGGGUAGCCGGCCUGAGAGGGCGACCGGCCACAUUGGGACUGAGAUACGGCCCAAACUCCUACGGGAGGCAGCAGUGGGGAAUAUUGCACAAUGGACGGAAGUCUGAUGCAGCAACGCCGCGUGCGGGAUGACGGCCUUCGGGUUGUAAACCGCUUUCAUCCAUGACGAAGCUUUUGUGACGGUAGUGGGUAAAGAAGCACCGGCUAACUACGUGCCAGCAGCCGCGGUGAUACGUAGGGUGCGAGCGUUGUCCGGAUUUAUUGGGCGUAAAGAGCUUGUAGGCGGUUUGUCGCGUCGGGAGUGAAAACUCGGAGCUUAACUUUGAGCUUGCUUUCGAUACGGGCUGACUUGAGGGAGGUAGGGGAGAAUGGAAUUCCUGGUGGAGCGGUGGAAUGCGCAGAUAUCAGGAGGAACACCGGUGGCGAAGGCGGUUCUCUGGACCUUUCCUGACGCUGAGAAGCGAAAGCGUGGGGAGCGAACAGGCUUAGAUACCCUGGUAGUCCACGCCGUAAACGGUGGGUACUAGGUGUGGGGGACAUUCCACGUUCUCCGUGCCGUAGCUAACGCAUUAAGUACCCCGCCUGGGGAGUACGGCCGCAAGGCUAAAAACUCAAAGGAAUUGACGGGGCCCCGCACAAGCGGCGGAGCAUGCGGAUUAAAUUCGAUGCAAACGCGAAGAACCUUACCUGGGUUUGACAUAUGCCGGGAGCGUUCAGAGAUGGGCGUGCCUUUUUGGUCGGUUUACAGGUGGUGCAUGGCUGUCGUCAGCUCGUGUCGUGAGAUGUUGGGUUAAGUCCCGCAACGAGCGCAACCCUCGUCCAAUGUUGCCAGCGGGUUAUGCCGGGGACUCAUUGGAGACCGCCGGGGUCGAACUCGGAGGAAAGGUGGGGAUGACGUCAAGUCAUCGUGCCCCUUAUGUCCGGGGCUUCGACGCGUGCUACGAAUGGCCGGGACAAGAGGCUGCGAGCCUGUGAGGGUAAGCGAAUCGCGGAAAAGCCGGUCUCGGUUUCGGAUUGGGGUCUGCAACGCGACCCCGUGAAAGUCGGAGUCGCGUAGGAUCGCGGUUCGGACGAACGGCUGCGGUGAUGACGUUCCCCGGGGCUUGGAGCGCCCGCCCGU
rnacentral:rRNA from 1 species